rnacentral:rRNA from 1 species
UUAGUACGGCGAGUGAGCGGUAAAAGCUCAAAUUUGAAAUCUGGUACUUUCAGUGCCCGAGUUGUAAUUUGUAGAAUUUGUCUUUGAUUAGGUCCUUGUCUAUGUUCCUUGGAACAGGACGUCAUAGAGGGUGAGAAUCCCGUUUGGCGAGGAUACCUUUUCUCUGUAAGACUUUUUCGAAGAGUCGAGUUGUUUGGGAAUGCAGCUCAAAGUGGGUGGUAAAUUCCAUCUAAAGCUAAAUAUUGGCGAGAGACCGAUAGCGAACAAGUACAGUGAUGGAAAGAUGAAAAGAACUUUGAAAAGAGAGUGAAAAAGUACGUGAAAUUGUUGAAAGGGAAGGGCAUUUGAUCAGACAUGGUGUUUUUUGCAUGCACUCGCCUCUCGUGGGCUUGGGCCUCUCAAAAAUUUCACUGGGCCAACAUCAAUUCUGGCAGCAGGAUAAAUCAUUAAGAAUGUAGCUACUUCGGUAGUGUUAUAGCUUUUUGGAAUACUGUUAGCCGGGAUUGAGGACUGCGCUUCGGCAAGGAUGUUGGCAUAAUGGUUAAAUGCCGCCCGUCUUGAAACACGGACCAU